UCCCUGGUGGUCCAGUGGUUAGAACUCUGCACUCUGACCUCCAGGGUUCCAGGUUCAAUCCCUGGUCAGGGAA